GGCAGAGGCAAGAGUGAAGGGGGAGUUCUGGCUGGGCUGCUGCAGGGGUCCAUGCCAGUCCCUGAGGUACCGGCUGAGGCUGUUAUGCUGACCCUGCAGACACUGGCUGGGGUGCUCUGAGGCACAUCUAUCUGGUCCCUUCCUGGAGACUAGAGAGCUGUGCUAAGCCACACACUCCAAGUUUCACUGUGUAGUCAAGAGGAUGUCAGCUGAGACACAGAGGUUGGUGGACACCUCUGGCAUGUGCACUUACGCCCAGGUACUCUGUGGUUAGAAGCUUCUCGCCUGAGAGUUCUCCAAGCUGGGGCUGGAUCAGUUCAUCUUUGUCUAGGUCAGCUUCCAUGAUGUCAUGAUCCUCCUGUUUCAAAGGAGACAGAGGUGGUGAACCAGAGAAAGCCAAGCAGAAGGGUGUUUCAUCUGUGCUGUGCAGUGCAGAGUCCCCCACUACCCAGUUGAGGAUCCAUUUGUCCAGCCCAGAAAGCAGGCUCUCGUCACUGCUGAGAGCUUUGUCCAGGCCCAGUCUUUACAGUGAGGGCAGCUACAUGCACCAGAGGAGCCACCAUCCUGAAAUUUCCCUCGGAGUUCCCCAAAGGAAAGUGACUGCUCCUCGGGAACAAGGCAGCGGGCUCUGCGGUCUGCUGAGUGGCAGGCAUGCAGGCCAGGUAGUAUUUCACCUCCUCUCCAGGGAGCACGCCGUGGAGGCCUCAGCUGGAAAUGGGCAUGUGAAUCACGGUUUCAUGAGGUAUUGGUGACACACUACUUCCCUGCCAAGAGGGAAAAUGAAACACUCAGGAACAACAAAAGUCCACAUUCCAUGUCAAAGACAAAGAAACCCAAUGGCUGACCUCAGCCAAUACCUGCAGAAGUAUUGCUUUACCUGGGACAAGAAGAACAUAUGUAAGACCCAUUCACUUGCAAAUCGACCUAUAUGUACCCACACUUGCCAACAGCACCCCUUAACUGCAAUUACCACAA